UACGAAGGGGGCUAGCGUUGCUCGGAAUCACUGGGCGUAAAGGGUGCGUAGGCGGGUUUUUAAGUCAGGGGUGAAAUCCUGGAGCUCAACUCCAGAACUGCCUUUGAUACUGAAGAUCUUGAGUCCGGGAGAGGUGAGUGGAACUGCGAGUGUAGAGGUGAAAAUUCGUAGAUAUUCGCAAGAACACCAGUGGCGAAGGCGGCUCACUGGCCCCGGUACUGACGCUGAGGCA
rnacentral:rRNA from 1 species